rnacentral:rRNA from 1 species
UAACACGUGGGUAAUCUGCCCUGGACACAGGAACAACCAGUGGAAACGCUGGCUAAUGCCUGAUGACGUGCCGCCCCCUCGGGGGUCGGCACCAAAGGUAGCUUCGGCCUCCGGUCCUGGAUGAGCCCGCGGCCCAUUAGCUUGUUGGCGGGGUAACGGCCCACCAAGGCGACGAUGGGUAGCUGGUCUGAGAGGACGAUCAGCCACACUGGGACUGAGACACGGCCCAG